ACAACCAGCUUAACCGUCAGCUGUGUACUGAGAGCGCUCGUGUCUCGGCAGGCGUCCCGCGUGUGCUCGGCCACCAUUGAAACGGUACAACUGAAAAUGGGCACAUCCGCAGAUAACAAUAAAGCGCUACGGUAUCUGACAGCAAUUGCUCCAACGUGAGACGGCAUUAGCACUGGAAUUUGUCGCUUUCCUCGAUGUUGUUUUGGAGUGACGUAAGACUGCUACGCGGCUCUCUCACCACGACACUUUGAAUCUCAACUCCAAGUUCUCUGUGUUGUGGGUCAUCUGAAGCAAAACCGCCGCUUCGAUAGGGAAUAACCUCCCAUACCAAGACAGCAAACAUGGAGAAUUCGACCUGGACUUCAGAAAUGCACUCCGGCUACACCACUCUGGCGUCGAGUAGUACCAGUAGUAAUCAGACCUUCACAGGCUACAGCUUCCUAGACGAUAACGGCACGGCGGGCCCCACCGAAGAGGAGCCUAUGUGUUUCCAGUCGGAGCUGCCUAGUGCCAUGGUGGUGGUGAUUACGGUAGCCUACGCGGUCAUCUCCUUCUUCGGGGUGACGGGCAACGCCCUGGUGGCCAUCGUCAUCUGGAACAACGUGGACAUGCGGAGCUCCACCAAUUACUUCCUGGUCAAUCUUAGUCUGGCCGACCUGAUGGUCAUGCUGGUCUGCAUGCCACCUUCUCUGCUGGAGCUGUACUUUCCCGGCUGGGUUCUCGGCGAGUUCAUGUGUUACCUAGUGACCACGAUGGACAGUGCCACAGCUCACGCCUCUAUCCUGACCCUACUGGCUAUCGCCGUGGAGCGGUACUACGUCAUCUGCAUGCCGUUCAAGGCCAACUACACGUGCACCUCCAGACGGACUCUGGCCAUCUGCUGUGUGGCCUGGCUGGUCGCCUUCCUCAGCAGCAUCCCCUCUGUCCUCAUGACCCGCUACGUUCCCUGCCAGAAUCCGACCACCGGCGAUCAGGCCGGCGAGUGCACCGGCUACGCAAAGACCAGGCUGGAGGAGGCCUUCAUCGCCAUCAUCUUCUGUCUCUUCUUCGUCAUCCCCUGCUGGUUCAUGACAGCCAUCUACUGCAUUAUCGCCAAGACGCUGCGCAUGCACGACAACUACAUGGCCGCCAUCCGGAAGAAAGAGUCCCUGCAGGCGCCAGCGUCAUCCAGCGACCUGGGGUCGCGUGAUGGGCGGGUGGUUGAGCUGGCUUCAAUGCCCCGCCGGGACAGCGUGGAGUACCUGAUGGAGGGCAACCACGUGGCCGGCUCGCCGGACAGCCGCGUCCGGUGCAGCCAGAGCGAGGAGCCGCUCACGGUAGCAACCGUCCAGCGGGAGGCCAAUCACAACACGUCCCUCAGACCGGCCAGUAGCGGCCGGCAGCAUCAGGCCUCCUCGAACAGCUCUUGCCAGAGUAUGGCCAAUGCGGCUACGCGGCAGGCCCACCGCCGCGUGGUGUUCAUGCUGGCCAGCGUGGUGGCCGUGUUCUUCGUGUGCUGGUUCCCCAUGCGCAUUGUGAUGAUGUGGCAGGUGUUUGCGCCGAUGGAGUCAGUGAAAGCCUGGUUGGUGAACAACCACCACACCUUUACGGUUAUGUUGGCCGGCUUCCGCAUCCUCAUAUACAUCAACUCGGCCAUCAAUCCCAUCCUGUACAACCUCAUCUCCACCAAGUUCAGGGCGGCGUUCCGGUCGGUCAUCUGCUGCGAGGAUGCUAGACGGUCUCGCAGCAAGAGGUCCAUUUCUACUCGCUCUUUCACUUCCACGUCCAGUCUGAGAAUCCAUAGCCGCACCACUGACUACCACGGCUAAGCCGCUAGCUGCUUUAUACCAUUCAUCCCGACGUAUCGUAGACCUUCAUCACGCUCGCGCUGACGUUCGUGCGAGAAGGCCUCCCUUCAAACAGUCUGUUUCACAAAAGACUUUGACCCAGUAAUCGAGUAAAAAUUUAAAAAAAUAAAAAAUACACGCACUAUCAAAUUGUAUGUCAAUAAAUAUUAGUUUUUUUCUGAGGGGACCAUUGUGUUUCACGCAGUACAAACUAAUUUCGUUUAUAGAGGUUGUUCAAAUGACGUAACAUGACGGGCAAAGGUAUGCCUGGAAGCGUACCAUGUCUGUGGAGAUGCAAGCAGUGUCGAGAUCUGUGUCCACCUCGACUCCAUGGGUUGCGUGCGCAUUCCUUCACUUCUAGCCGCUGGUCGUGUAGAAUACGCAAGUCACGCUGACUGGCUAUUCAGGACAAAUAUACAAAAGCGUAAAUUCAAUCACGCGCGUAUUUCAAAGGAUGCACACUCGCACCUGUGUAUUCUCUUGCACGUCACGCACACGUAAAUCUGCGUUGCGCGUAAACACACUGACUAAAGUCCCAAUUUAAAUAUCCUAAAUUGUGGGAUAUUUAAAUUAUACAACACCGUAUCAGGGGUUAGAUCUCGCAAGGCAUGGUGGGAACCAUCACGGUGGGAACCAUCACGGUGGGAACUAACAUGGUGCGACAACUUCGUUCCCAUGGAAAGGAGGUUGAACCUGUGUAUUUCUGUGGGCAGUUUCAUGCACGCCAGAAUGUUGAGAACCUCAGCAGGCGCGUGCGUUUCCGUGCACACCUGUUUAAAUGGAACGCUGACCGUCAAAAAUCACGUGAAUGAAAACCCCCUAUAUAUUAGUAACAAAGGGGGGGGGGCAGAUGCUCAAAUCUGAACGACCCAUUAGCAAGUUCAAUGACAUGUUUGUACGCACUUACAAAUUACCCGUAACGCAAGACGGGCAAUGAUAAUUCGGCCGGCGCUUUUGCUUGGCAACCGAGCUCUCACAACAGCGUGAUGGAGGUCUCGUCGUUUGGCUACCCUCAUGUAGUUAGCCCACCGUGGGUGCCAGUGGUGUGCCUAUAGCCGUUGUGAGUUAUAACACCUCUGUAAUUGUACAUACCUCUGUGAAUACUGCAGCCACUCUUCACCAACGUCUUGCUUUCCUUAGAUGGCUAAAUGUUCUUGCAUGUCUGUGUGAUAUAACUGCAUUCAUAAAUUGUGUAAAGCCUAUAUCAAAUGUGAUCACCAGGGACUUGCAGAUGUCAGAAGUCAACCUCGAGCGUAACUGGUCCCUGUUUAACUUGCUUUGCGAAGAUUAAUAUAUCAGUGCGAAUACCCGUCGCUUUUGCAUUUCGGCGGGGGGGUGGAUGAAGAUGCUGGAACGUCAUUCUAAGGCAAAUCGUACGAGGUAGACAAACACGACCCGAAUGAACAACGCUAAAUUCCCACGAUGUUGCAAAAGUACUGUGCCCCUUCUGAAUGAUUCCACGUCAAAGCCCCGCUCCUCGUAUAGCACUUAAUGGCAUGUGUAAUCGGUCGUUGUUUAAAUAUGAGUAUCUGAGAGCGGUAAACUGAAAUAGCGGAGAAGUUACGCCUGUGGUGAUGCCUAACUCAAACAUAAAUACACCCCUAGGGCAUAUUCGAUACACAAUUACAGUGAUUACUUACGGAUCUAAUAUCACCAAUACCCCCCCCUCUUUAAUGGACGUUACGAGUCCUCUCGUAGAGUUCGUGGGAUUUGCUUCAGUUGACAACCAAGAGCAGCCUUCGAGUUUUGCCUUGCCGAUGACACGUCUUCAAACAGUCACGGCCGGAAAAUAAUCUAAAAUAUUGCAUUUCAGUGGCACUGAAGCGCUGUUUUUCGGGCUAAUAUGUCUUAAUUGCUAGUGAUGAUAACGAGAUGGCUAAGAUCAUCCAUCAACUCCGAGGAAAAAAACAGUUUGGGCACGAAAAGUUCUUUGACUUCAAAAUAUCCUGAUUUGAAGGUAAUUUUCUUCCACACUCUCGGGGAGACGCUUGCGCGCUCCCCAACGCAACGUUAACACGGCAGGUGCUUCAGACGUCACUCUGUACGUCCACAGCAAACUCACAUUCUCAAAUCUCUGGGCAAUGUCGGUACAAAUUCAUUAUUCUGUGCCAACCUUCGGCGUUGCCCCGUUUUUAAUAUUUCUUAUCAAACGUUACAGCUCGAAAUAACGUGGAUAUCGCCGAGAGAAUAUAAGUCGUGCUAAGAUUAACUGAUCAAUACCCGGCGCUUUAGAAGAAAAGGCUCAAGUUAACUUAGCCGUCCAAAUUGAAACAAAUCAUGAACGAUCAAUACCUUUAUGCUAGGCAAAUUCUUCUGAGAUGAUGGUCAAACUGUACGCAAACAUAAAACGAUCGGGGGGGGGUUAUUUCAUAUCAAUCCCUCUCACAAUGAUACAUAUCGUUUUAAUUAACUUGUGAAAGGCUUCCAUCAAUACGUUUUCAGGUAAUUCGUCGGAGCAACAAUAUCUGUUAUAAUGAAAACGAAAGUAAAAGUAAAACGUUGUCCUUUUUAUUAAAUACAAAUAAUUCAAUGAAACCGAUUUUUGGUGUUUAUUUUCUUCACAGUACUAGACUACGUGAUACGUCUCUGCAGAACAUAUCAACUGGAAAUACAUACUAAUUGUACCCGCUGCCUUGGCCGUGCAGCCAAUACCACAAUGGGAACGACGUGACGUCAACGGGCCUCCAAUUUGCAAUGACUUGUAGCCUGCUCGUAGUCUCUUGUUUCAGUCGCCAAUCUAAAGGAACUUCCCCAGUAGAAAACGAUAUGGGUAGGACAAUUUUUAGCUGCAUGUGGCGAAUGAUACAAACAACACAAUAGCCCUGGUGAUGUCGCCUUACUCAGAGAAUAAUGAUUUCUCUCUAGGACUCACCAAUGACUCAAAUGAUACAUGCACGGAGCAAAAUUAAUCAGCAGUCCGAAAGCGUUUGUGAUGCUUCAGUAUCUUGUUUUGAAUCAAGUGGACUAAAUAAACAGUUAAUUAAUAUAGGAUGUUGUAGUUUUGGUGCGUCUUCUUCAGGGAUCAAUGUAAUGCGGUGAGUUGGUGUUGCUAGUCCUAGCGUAACUAAGUUCAAAACCCUAUUCCCUGUGGACAAUGAUGUAUAUCGAUAUGUUUAAACGACACUUUAACAAUUAAAUUGAUUAAUAAUACAUGUAAUUACAAGCCAUUUUGAGGCAUUCUCAUUAAUUGUUAAUAGAAAUUUCCACAGUUGCACAACACAAAGAGGGAAACGAAAAUUCGUACUGUAUCGUUUUGGCACAACUUGGAAGGACUGGGAACGAUCACGCUCCAGUAAAAAUGUACAUGUACUAUAUUUCUUAGAAAAAAAAAUUGGCUGGCAUGUACGAUUCAGAAAACAUGGUUCAAAUUCGGAAGAAAAAAA
rnacentral:misc_RNA from 1 species